AACAAUUUGGCAAAAUCGGAGAGUAAAAAAAUCGCUAUCCAUAGGAAAAUGUCAGCUUUUCCAACAAAUUUUUCCACAAUGAUUAAUCUUUAAAUCUUGCUUUUUUAGUGGAUCCAAAAUAGAGAGACAGAUGAAAGAGGACUAAAAGUACAGAGGUCAUCUGAAAAACAGUUUCAGCAGACUGCUUGAACAUCUGAGAUGUCAGUGCGUGCUGUACUAGAAACGGCAAAAGAUACUGUGAAGAACCAUCAAGCUUCUUGAUCUAUGAAGUCUGAACUGCUGACUGAUUUAUUUUUCUGAAGACUAAAACACACCAAGGAAGGAAAAUGUGCCACAGGUUCCUUGAUAAAGGUUGAAAGACACAUCCCAUGGUCGUGGAAAAGAUGUCAGUCUGUUUCAGAAGGGUCAAAUCACUGGCAUGCAUCAAGUAGAGAAAACAUCUCACGAGAUUGCAGAAACUACCAAAAUUGGGUUAAGAACUGUCCAACGCAUUAUUAAAAACUGGAAGGAUAUUGGGGACCCAUCGUCUUCGAGGAAAAAAGGUGGCCGGAAAAGUCAACAAACCCUAAGCCUGGACUUUUGAGGGACAAACUGGAGCUGUCAAGAGUGGACCACCAUCUCUCCCAAUGGAUACUGGACCACCUCACUGGCCACCUGUAGUAUGUGAAGACAUGGGGCUGUGUCUCUGACAGCUGGUCUGCAGCACAGGGGUACUGAUAUAGAUGUGGCGAAGACGCCUUAUCGAAGUUUUAACUGAGCAUCAGAAUGGUGAAGGACUAAUGGUUUCUGCUGCCAAAUGGCCUGGUCUGAGAACUUCACAAACUGCUCAUCUACUGGCAUUUCCCCUCCCAACCGUCUCUCAGGUUUACAAAGAAUGGUCUGAAAAUGAGAAACAAUUUCCAGCUUAAGCUGAACUGGACCCUGCAACAUGACUAACCCAAAACAUACCAGUAAAUCCAUUGAGAACUAGCUGAUAAAUAGGAAAUGGAAAGUCCUGGAAUGAGUCAAGGCCUAGAUCAUGGGAUGCUCUGAUGUGACCUAUAAAUGGAGUGUACAAGCAAGAAACUCCCCAAACAUCCCACAGCUGAAAGUAAGGAGUGGGCCAAACUAGACCAGCUACCGGGAGAUGGUAUCAUCUGCAUACAUUGACACAUUACAUAGUAGUAAGUGAAGAGAUUGUACCGAGUAUACAGCCCUGUGGGACACCACCUGAGGGGAAGGAGACCAAAGACUUCCAGUACAAGACAGACUCCUGUCAUCUGCAGAAAUACUCAGAUGAUUCUGCAGUU